rnacentral:lncRNA from 1 species
GUGUUCAUUUGCAUUUAUCUGAUGUUCCCUCUAGCUCAUGGGGAGAUGCUGUCAUUUUGCUAUUGUUUAUAGAUAAGUGGCACACACACUUCAGAGAUCUUAAUACCAAGAAGGCCCUUCCUUCAAAUGCCUGCUCCCAGGUUUGUCUUGCUGGUGCAGCUGCGGAAUGUCUGUCCCUCCGACAUUAAAUGCCGAUGCAGAAGGGUGAGUUCCCAGGCCAAGAUUAGCGUGAUGGGAUGGUGUCUUCUCAAGCUGAGGUUACAAGCAUCAGUGUUCGCCACACCAGCAGGGUUUCCAGCGCCACCUGCAAACACACCUGCGGUAAGAGGGUUAUCUUUCUCCUUCACAGCUUCGCUAAGAGCUGUUUCUUGGCUGUGGGGCAGCAGCCGCCUCCUCUCUCUUCUCCAUCACUUUCACUUUCAAGGCCCAAGCACAGGAGAGAUACUACAGGGAAGCAAGAAGAGGCCUUAGCAUCAUCUUGCAUGUGCCGAACGAAAGGAGCCCUAAGGUCCUCUGCCGGGCAGCGCACCCUCUCUGAUUCCGCCACCGUCCCUCACCGGGGAACGGCUCCUCUUCAGCCUUGUGCGGAAGGUCUCAGAGCACCGUCAGCGAACAGUCCUCUCCCUUCUUGCUUUGGCACUGGCCUGCACCACGGAGUUCCUGUAACUGCCUUAAAAGGAACACACUCCUCCCCACGGCCACCGCAUAUUAUUCUCUUGACAUAUUGCCAUGAACUAAAAAAAGAAACAGGCUGUGAAAUAAUACAACGUUAUUUUGAACUAAAAGAGUCCAUUUAUCAGCAUUACACAUAAAAAAGAUGAUUCAAAAGAUAAGGAGCAGCAGAGACCCUGAAGGAGGCCCACGGGCCUGAAGGCGGCUGGCAAACCCACCACAUGCCGCCAACACAACACGGUGACUUCAGAUUAAUGGUGUUGUGACACAGGUGAUUGUGGUUGGGGUUGAGGGCUUCUUGGCUCUGCUUUCCCAUUUCUCUUGGACAGAGCUCUGGCAUCAAGAACCACCGCAGAGGGAGGCAUGGAGACGUUAGAGUUGGGACCCACAGAGGAUGGACAGAGUCCUACCUGGGACCCAGACUCGGGCGGGUUAGUGCAUCCCUCAUGGCUCAUCCUUCUCCUUCCCUUUCCUGAGUCAUCGUGGCAGCGCGUACAAGGCUGGCCCUGGGCGAGGUGUGGGAGGUGUGGCAGAUGACAGGAGGAGAAAGAGAGAAGAAAGCAUAAGCCAAAAGGGUCUGAAGUGUUCUAACACUGGAGGUGGGGGCGGCUUCAGAUCUGAGAAGCAUGUUUUGAGCUUUCUGAGAGCUUUAUGGUCUGGAGACAGAGAUCAUCGAGGGAAUCAUUGAGCCCAUGGAGAUUUGGGGGUCCAUUUGGGGUCCAAACUCUCUCCAAUUUGGACUGCUGGUUUCUGCUUUGUGGGCACCUUGAUUCUGAUCGUCUUGAAGCCAAGGUGGAGCCUUGAAGAGAGAAAGCAAGAAGUUGGCUUGUGAGUCCUGGCCCUUGGUUUACAAGAAAGGUGCUUAAAUAGGACGUCUUGUUGGUUGCAACAUCACAGGUCCAGUGCCGCAGACACAAUGUGGGAGGACAAGGAGCUCUUGUGUGGAGACUCUGGGACUCCAGUGGGCCUUUUGAAGUUAUCUGAGGUCCUCUGUUUGAAGCUGUCUACUGUUCUAAAUGUGGGCCAGACUGUUAUAAAUCAGCUACCCAACCCGUGUUGAAAGCCAUCUCUGAAAUGUCCUUUACAUCUAAUCUCAGAUUUACAAAUUGGCAUUUAGUUCUGGUUGUGUGACCUUGGUAU